rnacentral:rRNA from 1 species
UACGAAGGGGGCUAGCGUUGCUCGGAAUCACUGGGCGUAAAGGGUGCGUAGGCGGGUCUUUAAGUCAGGGGUGAAAUCCUGGAGCUCAACUCCAGAACUGCCUUUGAUACUGAGGAUCUUGAGUUCGGGAGAGGUGAGGUGGAACUGCGAGUGUAGAGGUGAAAAUUCGUAGAUAUUCGCAAGAACACCAGUGGCGAAGGCGGCUCACCUGGCCCGAUACUGACGCUGAGGCACGAAAGCGUGGGGAGCAAACAGGG